UUUUUUAAUUUUUUUUUUUAAAACGUCCGUGUAGGCCAAUAAGAAUAAGAUCGGUGUCCAUACAUGUGGUAAGCACCGCUUUUUUCAUCGAUUUUUGAGUCGGCUUUUUACCCCCAUUCAAUUUAGAUCAGUGUCCUCUCCACCGCUUCAUUUUCUUCCGGAUCCUCUACCGCCUCAUCUCCGCUUCUGACUUCUUAUCGGCCUUUGCUGACGAUUUCCCCUAAACCAAGAAAACCGACAAGCCAAGAGUGUCGAUUCAUGCUCUGCGUCUAACCGAAGAUCCAAUCCCAGGUAUUUGUCCUUCGCUACCAUCAACAAAAGGGGAAGGACGGUCACAAGCCGACUGCUGACUUCAGCCGACACCCAGUUCAUCGCUUACCGCUCCAUCAUCCGCCCACAAUCGCCGCCCAACUACUUCUUCCAUAUUCACAUCGUCUUCUCCUUCAAUGACAUCCAUAUAAUUUUGUCAGAUGAAUCUUCUUUGCAAGGUCAGUUAUGCUUGGGUACUAAAUUUGAAAACCCUGUUUAUGUUUUCUUUGUAUCCUUCAUUGAAGAGAUUUCUAGCAAUGGUUGAAGUAUUUGUUUAUUUUUGGUUUUAUUUGAUGUAAUUUACCGAUCAAGUUUUUCCAAAUUGGUUGUUGUCAAAUUCAUUUUUUAUUUUUUUUUUUAUUUAUUUAUUUAUUUAUUUUUUUUUUGUAAUUUACUGAUAAAACUUAUGUAGUUUCCUGUUUUCUGAGUUCAUAUAAUUGUUUUUAAUUAUUUUUUUUUUAAAAUUUGGUUCAACCCCUCAAUUCGUCGUUAUUUGGUUCAAAACAAAAUAUCUGGUGAUUCUAUCAUAUUCAUGAUUUUCCUUGAUUUUUCUUACUGAGCUAACGGAAAUGUAAUUGCUAUCGUAUGCUAAUCAUUUCAGGUUAUCUAAAGUCAACAAACUCAUAUUUUUGUCAACGUAAAUCAUGGAAAUUUCCGAAAUUGAAGAGAAUAUGUUUGCGCUGGGUGAACCGAAGGUUUACAAAGGAUGGAGUGUUAGCUUCCAUUUCAUCACCAAGUUUACAAUUUUGAUGAAACAACACAAAAGUUUUGGUGAAUUAUAGUGUUGUUGGUUGAUUCCAUACGAUCAUGAUAGGCAUCAGAGUAAACUAUCAAAGAAGCAUCGAACUCUUAAUGUUUUCUUGGUAGUUGGUGAUUGUAUCUUAGUUGGAUUACAGCCAAUUUUGGUGUACAUAUGUAAGAUGGAUGGGAAGUUGAGCUUUAAUGCUAUUAGUGUGAAUUUUUUGACAGAAGUUGCAAAGGUUACAAAUUAGAAGGCUGGAGGCAAGCCACUUCUUUCAGUCCCCGAUUUUAUACAGGUUUGUCUUGAGGGAAGGUCUGCUGGACAAUGGUAACUAAACAUGAUUAAGAAAACCAUUGAUGAAGGUUCAACUUUUCAUUGUGUUGGUUCUUGACAAUGCUCAUUGGAGUAUGCUGGUUAAAAUUUUCAGUUGUUAUUUUCCUAUUUCUUUUGGCUCUUUUGUAAA